rnacentral:rRNA from 1 species
AUUGAACGCUGGCGGCAGGCCUAACACAUGCAAGUCGAGCGGAUGAAGGGAGCUUGCUCCUGGAUUAGGCGGCGGACGGGUGAGUAAUGCCUAGGAAUCUGCCUGGUAGUGGGGGAUAACGUCCGGAAACGGGCGCUAAUACCGCCUACGUCCUGAGGGAGAAAGUGGGGGAUCUUCGGACCUCACGCUAUCAGAUGAGCCUAGGUCGGAUUAGCUAGUUGGUGGGGUAAAGGCCUACCAAGGCGACGAUCCGUAACUGGUCUGAGAGGAUGAUCAGUCACACUGGAACUGAGACACGGUCCAGACUCCUACGGGAGGCAGCAGUGGGGAAUAUUAGACAAUGGGCGAAAGCCUUAUCCAGCCAUGCCGCGUGUGUGAAGAAGGUCUUCGGAUUGUAAAGCACUUUAAGUUGGGAGGAAGGGCAGUAAGUUAAUACCUUGCUGUUUUGACGUUACCAACAGAAUAAGCACCGGCUAACUUCGUG